GAUGAACGCUGGCGGCGUGCUUAACACAUGCAAGUCGAGGGGCAGCAUGGGCUUAGCUUGCUAAGCCCGAUGGCGACCGGCGCACGGGUGAGUAACACGUAUCCAACCUUCCGGCAACUCCGGUAUAGCCUUUCGAAAGAAAGAUUAAUCCCGGAUAGUAUGGUGAUUCCGCAUGGUUUCUCCAUUAAAGGAUUCCGGUUACCGAUGGGGAUGCGUUCCAUUAGGCAGUUGGCGGGGUAACGGCCCACCAAACCUACGAUGGAUAGGGGUUCUGAGAGGAAGGUCCCCCACAUUGGAACUGAGACACGGUCCAA
rnacentral:rRNA from 1 species